GAUGAACGCUGGCGGCGUGCCUAAUACAUGCAAGUCGAGCGAACGGACGAGAAGCUUUCUUCUCUUAUUUUAGCGGCGGACGGGGGAGUAACACGUGGAUAACCUACCUAUAAGACUGGGAUAACUUCGGGAAACCGGAGCUAAUACCGGAUGAUAUUUUGAACCGCAUGGUUCAAAAGUGUAAGACGGUCUUGCUUUCACUUAUAGAUGGAUCCGCGCUGCAUUAGCUAGUUGGUAAGGUAACGGCUUACCAAGGCAACGAUGCAUAGCCGACCUGAGAGGGUGAUCGGCCACACUGGAACUGAGACACGGUCCAGACUCCUACGGGAGGCAGCAGUAGGGAAUCUUGCGCAAUGGGCGAAAGCCUGACGGAGCAACGCCGCGUGAGUGAUGAAGGUCUUCGGAUCGUAAAACUCUGUUAGUAGGGAAGAACAUAUGUGUAAGUAACUGUGCACAUAUUGACGGUACCUAAUCAGAAAGCCACGGCUAACUACGUG
rnacentral:rRNA from 1 species